rnacentral:tRNA from 1 species
UUGGCUCAGUGGGUAGAGCAUUGGCCUGCAGACUCAAGGGUCCCUGGUUUGGUUCCAGGA